UUACGGCCAUAUCACAUUGAAACAUCGGUUCCUGUACGAUCACCGAAGUUAAGCAACGUUGAACCUGGUCAGUAUCUAGAUGGAUAACCGCUUGGAAAACCAGGUGCUGUAAG